GUCAGCAGCCAUAUCACCCUGCAGCCCAAGACUGGUUGCCCACUGAAGCUAAGCAGGGCUGAGCCUGGUCAGUACCUGGAUAGGAGACCUCAUGGAAAAACUAGGUUGCUGCUGGAA
rnacentral:rRNA from 1 species